UAAUACGGAGGAUCCGAGCGUUAUCCGGAUUUAUUGGGUUUAAAGGGUGCGUAGGCUGGUUUUUAAGUCAGCUGUGAAAUACCGACGCUUACCGUCGGCACUGCAGUUGAAACUGGGAACCUUGAGAGUGCAAGAGGCAUGCGGAAUUCAUGGUGUAGCGGUGAAAUGCAUAGAUAUCAUGAAGAACCCCGAUUGCGAAAGCAGCAUGCUGGGGCAUAUCUGACGCUGAGUCACGAAAGUGCGGGUAUCAAACAGGAUUAGAUACCCUGGUAGUCCGCACAGUAAACGAUGAAUACCAGCUGUUGGCGAUAGACAGUCAGCGGCGUAAGCGAAAGCGUUAAGUAUUCCACCUGGGGAGUACGCCGGCAACGGUGAAACUCAAAUGAAUUGACGG
rnacentral:rRNA from 1 species